rnacentral:rRNA from 1 species
AUGUAAUGUAAUUCCUAUAAUGUUAAUGCACCAAAUCCCAUUAGAACUCUACAACUAAGAUCACUUGGGCUAGAGUAGCACUGGGAUGGGUGACCUCCUAGGAAGUCCUAGUGUUUUACAUG